GCCAUUUUGAGCCAAAUUGCGGCUUGUACAGCGCACGGGGUCUGAUAAUCCAAAUACUUUUUCGGAUUGAAGUAUCUUUUCUAGCUGUAUCGACCUACAUUGAAAAUAUAGGAAACUUUAUUUCUUGGUUUUUGUGUUUAAUGCAGAGUACAAUUAUUGAAUUUAGAUUGUAGCGCAACCUAGUUUUGAGUGUUUAGCAUUAGCCAGCUAGCUCAUUGAUAGUGAACCACAUUGUUAGAACGAGGUCGUCGUCAGUGAAUGAGCAUUUUGCUAAAUUGCUAGCCAGUAAGCUAACAAAGGAAUAUAUCGUGUUGGCUUCUUAGGACCGUUGUCGAUACGCAAAACGUACCUUAUUUGGUUCAGAGUAAAUCUAGGCCAUAAGGACGUUUUAAAGUUGUUUGGUAAAUAACGUUACUUGAUUUGCCAUUGUUUGCGCUAGAGUGCUGUUCUACGCGGUUUCAGUGAAACGUUCGUCGCUGCUUGCUAGGUAACAGAUUCCGCGUGUUGAGAAAACCUUUGUCGCUAAUGAAAAUGGCCGAGUGUUAUAUUCGUGUGGCGGAAGAUGAGAAUGAGGAGCCCAUGGAAAUCCCAUCCGAGGAGGACGGCACCGUAUUGCUGUCGAGCGUCUCUGCACAGUUUCCAGGGGCUUGCGGCCUACGUUUCCGGAGCCCAGUGUCCCAGUGCAUGCGAGGGGUCCGUUUGGUGGAAGGAAUUCUUCAUGCUCCCGAAAAUGGAUGGCAGAAUCUGGUCUAUGUCGUUAACUAUCCUAAAGAUAACAAAAGGAAGAUGGAUGAGAUGGAUGCUGCCUUGGCCUCAAAAAUGAAAAGGGGGGAUCAGAAGACCUCAGACCUGAUUGUGUUAGGGUUACCAUGGAAAACCUCAGAGCAGGACCUGAAGGACUAUUUUGCCACUUUUGGGGAAGUCAUCAUGGUCCAGGUCAAACGUGAUGUGAAGACUGGAAACUCGAAGGGCUUUGGAUUCGUGAGGUUCACAGAAUAUGAAACUCAGAACAAAGUGAUGUCACAGCGUCACAUGAUUGAUGGAAGAUGGUGUGACUGCAAGCUCCCUAAUUCAAAGGCCUUUAGUCCAACGGAUUAUAUGUUUGGCUUUCAGGCUGGUCCCGACGAGCCCAUGAGGUGCAGGAAAGUGUUCGUCGGCCGAUGCACUGAGGAUAUGACUGCCGAUGACCUGAGGCAGUUCUUUAUGCAAUAUGGCGAAGUUACUGAUGUGUUCAUCCCAAAACCUUUCCGUGCUUUUGCUUUCGUCACCUUUGCUGAUGACCAGGUUGCCGCAGCACUGUGUGGUGAGGACCUGAUCAUCAAAGGAGUCAGCGUGCACAUCUCCAAUGCUGAGCCUAAGCAUAACAACAGUAGGCAAAUGAUGGAGAGGGCAGGGCGCUUCGGCAAUGGCUUCGGCCAGGGGUUUGGCAGUAGCCGUAGUAUAGGAGGUAGCAGCUCUAGCAACCUGGGUAACUUUGGUACCUUCAACCUCAACCCAGCUAUGAUGGCCGCAGCCCAGGCCGCUCUACAGAGCAGCUGGGGGAUGAUGGGCAUGCUGGCGAGCCAGCAGGGUCAGUCCACCACCUCUGGCACCAGCACGAGUGGGCAGACUAGCUCGACCCGGGGGGAGACCCAGACGUAUAGUUCAGGGAACAGUAACUACAGCACAGGCUCAGCUAGUCUUGGGUGGGGAACUGGCUCUAACUCUACAACUAGCGGGAGUGGGUUCACCUCUGGCUUCGGCUCCAGCAUGGAGUCCAAGUCCUCAGGGUGGGGUAUGUAAUGGGAUUUGAGUUGUUAAAGUUUGUAGUGUGUGUGUGUGUGUGGUAAGUAUUCUGAGAUUUUUUUUUUUUUUUUUUUUUUUUUUUUUUCCGUCAUGUGUUUUUGAGAUAAACAAAACAAACUUUUGAGGAGGGAUAUUGAAUGUUUUGUAUAUUUGGACAUGUUUGUCCAGAAUUUCAUUUAGAGUGUUUGAAGUGGAUCAUUGUUAACCAGGGGGUAAAACCCACCUAGGAUGUCCUUUUCUUUCUUUUUACGUUCUCUCUUAUUGUCAUUUCAACUGGAUUCUGAAAUGCAUGUAUUGUAUAGUUAUGGUUCUUAAAAAAUGCAUGAGCAAGUUAACAUCGAACCACAUUCUUGCAUUUGUUUUUUCCUUUAUGCUCAGUCUUGCAUUGAGAAGAAUCUAGUUGAAACUGAACAGACUUGCUUACUUUUUAAAGUUCAAAUUUGUUUGCAGUCAAGUUUCUACGGAAAAAAAAGCCUUCAUCAAAAAUCUCUUCUGCAGUUCACAUCUCUCCCGCUUUCCUGGGAAGACGCCCCUGUUUGGCAGCACUCUGUGGCUGAUGUCACUGUCAGUUGCCCUCUUCCCCAUGCGUUAAUGCUUUGCCACCACAGAACGGCUAUCUCCUUCGCAUGUGCCGACAAGACGGUGGGUGUUCCCUUUUUAUCCACUUUUUUUGUUUUUCUUUUUUUUUAACAAAUCAAAUGGCAAGAUCUGCGCAAAGUGACAUUUUGAGAACUCUGAGUGCGAUUGGGGAUGAUGGCUUGUUGGUGGCGAAGAGUGACGCUGCGAAUGAGAGAAUGGAAAGAGCAAAAGAACGGGUGGAAGAGAGCGAGCGAAAAGACUGGUUGUGCGAUGAGAGCGCGCCACAUGUGACUGCGAUGGGUGGUGGCUUUGGUGCGAGUGUGAAUGGAAGCUUCAGAUGCUACAAGCGCCUCCUUUGUGACCCCUAUGAUGGACAUUUUGUUAACUUUGUACAUCUCCCAGAUCUUUUCCCUUCCUUUCCUACCCUCCUUCUUUAACCCUGCUCUCCUCCUACUGCCUCUCCUUUUAGUAUACUGAAGUGCGUAAAAUAGCACCAAGUUUAGUGGAAUGUUGUGAUAUAUAUUUUGUCUUGCUUCUAUAACCCAUCCUGAAUGCUGUAUGGUGUGUGUGCUUUAUUUCCUUGUACUUGACCUGUAAGUGUGAACUUGAUGUGGAUGACAACUUCUGAGGACUCUUGAGGGGGACAUGAGUGAUGGUGGGCCUUGGAUACUGCUGACCGAGGUUUCCAUCUGAACCCAGAGUGGGAGAUUGAGUUUUGUGAAGGACGAAGAUGGAAGGGUGUGGAGGCCCUAACUUCAGCAGUGGGUUCAGCAAUAUUUGUAGCGUCCCUGGAUUGACUGUGGACUGGAAAAUGGUAAUGGCCUUCUCAAGAGUCCAGAGCACAAGGCAUUGUAACACUAAGAAUUGAUUAAAUUGGCCUUAGUAGAAGCUCCUAAAACUGAAACACCAGUCUGGUAAUUAACAGUUGAGCCUUAAUGUUUUUACUGCUAAGCCUUUAACGUGUAUGCUUGAUAUACCAGUAGGUAUUCUUGUAUGAGUUCAGAUAGUUACAUGAAACUGAAGUCUGAGUUAAGUAUGAUAAUAUUGAGUUUUUUUUAAUGUGACAGCUAUAUUUAUAUUAAUGUGGUUAAAGUACAGUUAGAUCAAUUGGCAGUGAAAACUGUUUCCAACCCACCAUUGCAGCUCCCUAGCACUUGCAUAGUGAGUGCGUGUUUCCCCCUCCCCCCCACAAUAAAAAGAAAUUACAUCUUGAA